GGAGGAACACAGGAUCUGUGACAGCGGAAAGCCAGAGGGCUGCAGGCACGGGGCAGAGGGGAGGGGAACCACCACUUCCCCCAGUUGUCACAGCAGGGAGACAUCCUCCAAGGGCUGCACUGAAGAUACUUGCGCAAGGAAGAAUUCAGCGUUUAUGGAUAUGCCCCUUGGAGGACUGAGGCCAUCAGAAGAAGUUUGUCCUGCCAGGGCAGCCACUGGUCUCCGCAUGGAGUGAGUGCUGGACAUCCAUCUUGCACAGGCACUGCUCACGUGCAGGACAGAUGGAUGGAUGGAU
rnacentral:lncRNA from 1 species